UAAGUUACACUUGAUGGGCACCUCACCCUUGAGGGGUAUUGUGGUUAUUUUGUAUUCUAUUUUGUAAUACACUAUAUAUAGAACCUCUUAGGGUUUUUAGUCUUAGAUGUUUAUUGAUAUUGAAAGUUGUAAAAAGAACAUUUCUCUCUUGUGAGAAAGGCCUAUGGCCGAAAUAUUGUAAUUAGGAUUUCUAACUUGAGUGCGGAAUCAUUCGUAUUGGAUUCAUGCUUGGAACGUUGGGUGUCAGAGGAGGUUGAGGUCUCUCUUGUGCUCACUAAAGAGAUAGGUAUUUUUAGUAUGUAGUGUUAAGGGUCCAAGAGUGGAAUAGGCUCUUGGGUUCUUAAGAGUAUGCCUUCACUUUGUCUAUCUAUCUAUCUUUACGUACAUUUCUUAGAUUCUUUAUUGUUGUUCUAGUCAAAACCGUGUGUUGUUGUUUCCAUUGUGUUAUUGUUCAUCUUGUUACCUUGACACUCUCUUUGUUAGUUUGUGGUGGCUGUUUUGGUGUCAAAUACACCAUUGUUAUCUCGUAUUAUUGUUGUUGUAGUGAAUCCGAGAGUGGUCUCCAAAAAGGUCCUCGGAUCCUUAGGAUUAGUGGACUAAUUUGGAGUGUGUUUUCAUGCUUUCGUUGUCUUUCUCGUAUCAUUUGGUAUCAGAGCAUGGCUUGAUCUUGUUCCUACAAGAUCAAUCUUGGGCUUGCUUGUUAGAAAAUUAAAAAAAAAAUUAUUGUUGAAAAAUUGAAAAUUCCAGAAAAAAAAGAGAAAUAUGUCCAUUUAGUGUUCUUGGCUGAAAAUUGUGUUUUUGUUGUGUAUUGGCCAAUAUUUUUUCUUGUCUUUGUUGUCUCUCAGUGUUAGUUUUGUUCCUCACUAACACAUUAAGUCUAUAUCUUAGAUUUGAGCUUGAAAUAUUGAUGUUGUUAAUGUGAACAAAGUGUGGCCGAUUGUUGUUUGUAUUGUUGUUGCGGGUUCAAGACUUGAACGUGUGAUGUGUUGUUGGUUCAAGUUUUGAACGUGUAUUGUGGAGAUUGUGUUGUGGAAUUUAAGCUUGGGAAGUUGUUGUUGUUGUUUGGGAGGUCCAACUUGAACCUUAGAACUUCAAGACUCAAAGUUUGUGUUAUUGGUUCUUCACUAUCUCCAUAUAUUGCUGACGAAAAAAGUAGUUGUUGAUCUUAAAAGUUGAGGAAAAAGAGUGUGUAUUGUGUUAGUCUUGCAAGACAUAGAUCCAAGUUUCUAGGUGUAUCACUUGUGACUCAAAGACUUUUCCUACACACUAAAGACUUUACAUCACUUCUCAACCACUUUCCCAUGAAACAAGGGUCCAUGUUUAAGGAAAUGUACUACAAAAGUCAAGUCUUGAAAUGUGAAACUUGAAAAAAAGGCUCCAAGACUUAUUCUUCCCUCCUUAAAACAAAUUCCAUCAAUCCAAAUUAAAAUUGGUAAAGACUUGGACUUUGGAAAAUAAAAAUUGUAGAAACAGCAACCAAUUCACGCAUCAAAUUUUGGCUCAAAUUUUAUAUUUUCUUAGUUUCUUUUUAUUGUUCUGUAGUUUCGUUUGUUGGUUCCAAUACUAAUUGGCAAACUAGUACUCAUCUACUAGAUUGUUAGUUAGUCUUUUUGUUCGUUCAUUCGUGUUUAGCAUUUGUUGUGUGCUUUUUUUCUCUUUUGUGAAUUCGUUGUGUCUUGUUGGUUCAAGUCCAUAAAUAAUUUUUCUUUUGAGUCAACUCAAACGAAAAUCUAUUCCGAGCAAAGAUGGACUCAUCCCUCAAUCACUUACGAAGUACAAACCGACUUUCAACACUUGUGAAACCAAGUGUGAGAUAAAACUGAAAGUGAGGGUAUGGUGAGGCAUUUUGAACUAACAAGUUUGUUUUGUUGUUUGUUGUUGUCCUUUGCUUUAGGUACCAUGGCUAUCACUAAUAUCGAUGCCACAUUCGAUCGCAUCAAUGAUGAUAUUGAAGAAAUAAAAUGGCACGUGGAAAGGCUACGUCAAUUGUUACCUAAGCUUAUCCCACAAAAUCCAACUUUCCUUGUCCAAACACCUUUUACUGAGAGCUUCCCGAAGGAAGAGGUGGGCUGCCCCGACCCACACCAAGGUAAAGAGGAGAUUGAAACAUCUUUGGUACUUGAUAGUGAACUUAUAGAGAGUGAAGCACUUCUUAGUUCCAAAUCUGUCCGUGAGAUAGAUCAUGCUCUCUUUAGGUUUAAUGUUUUCUUUGAAGAUGUUAUAAACACUCCUAAUGAACCUAGUGGUGAAAAUUAUGGUAUAGCUUGCCUUAAAGGCUAUAGCCGAUAUGCUAACCCACUAUGGUAUGACAACAUUCCUCCUAAAGAUGGAAAUCUCUUCUUAGAAGAUGAUAGUACUCUUAUGGGAAAGGAAUGUGUAGUCUCGGAAAUGAGUACUCUUGGUGUUCAUGAUGAUCAAUUUACUCUUAAAUGUAGUUCACUACUUGAGCAUGUGAAUGGAGUGCUUAAAAAUUCAUAAGUUAGUGAUGGGGUCUAUAGAAUUGAUCUUGAUAAUGCCCAUGACUCUUUGAACAUCUUGUGUGGUAAAAACAUUGCGAUUAGUUUUGUUCAUAAAGAUCAUGUGUACGAAAAUGUUUUUGUGUGUGAAUGUGGGAGUGACAUUCUAGGGGAAGGAAGGGAUAGCCUCGGCUUAGGCCCUUGGCUAAUUAUUUCAUUUGUUCUCGGUACCAUCUUAGGGUGGGAAAUGAUGACUCUCAAACUAUUUUCCUUUUGUCUUGAUGCUUGUCCGAGCCACUUCCUUUGUAGUAAUUGUACUAAUCUUUUCAUGAUUAAAACAAAGAACCCGUGGCUAUAUUUCAAAUUUGUCCCCCCUCGGUAUGGCAUGUUGAUGUGUUAUUUUUGCCAACCCUAACCCCUCAUAUCAUGAGGAUGUGUGCUUGUUGUCUUCUCUUGAUUUGCAAGGUAUGGAUUAGAGGUCGAAUCUUUUUCAAGUAGGGGAGGAUGAUACGAGUACAACCACAAGGAUGGAUGAGAUCUGUCCAAGAAAGUGCACAAGUGAAGUGUGAAAGAGGGCCUAAAUACACUAAAAACAGCCCCUAAGUUACACUUGAUGGGCACCUCACCCUUGAGGGUUAUUGUGCUCAUUUUGUAUUCUAUUUUGUAAUACACUAUCUAUAGAAUCUCUUAGGGUUUUUAGUCUUAGAUGUUUAUUGAUAUUGAAAGUUGUAAAAAGAACAUUUCUCUCUUAUGAGAAAGGCCUAUGCCGAAACAUUGUAACUAGGAUUUUCAACUUGAGUGUGGAAUCAUUCGUGUUGGAUUCAUGCUUGGAACGUUG
rnacentral:lncRNA from 1 species